GGGCAGACAUGAGUUGCAUAUAUGCUCCAUACAUAGCUCAAAGAUCUGCAGAAAGAUAGAUGUGGAGUCUCUCAAAGCAGUCUAUUUUUCUCACCUUUCUUCUCCACUUCUUCCUGCAACCGCCAUGGUUGCUGCACGCUCUCAAGCAGACCGAACCACCAACAAAGGGUUUUUAACGGUUUUAAAGUUAUACCGGGAACACUACGCUACAAAAGUGAUGCCGUCGGCUAUCAAGACUUGUUGAAUUUGGUUGCCGAACAAGCCUCACAGUGCGAGGUAGAGUCCACGCCAAAGAUGCGCGAGGAUGACAUCCUGGCCGGACAUAGGAAUUAGCAUCGACGUGCCCUGUAAGCAUGGCCUAGCAUAGUACAGCUAACAAUACAGGAAACAAAAAGUCUCCAAGGAAGAGAGGGACGCUCGUUUAAAGGCUAAGCUUAAGGUGGAGGUUAUUCAAGAGCUGCAGGCAAGCAUGGACGCCAAGGUGGAAGAAAUGCUUAAACAUGUCCUGGCCGGCAUGAACAUACCCCGAGACACACCACAAGAUGUUCAUCCAACUCCUAGGGCACAUCAUGAUGCAAGUCCUAUCCCUGGUAGGAGCAGUUGUGCAUCUACUGAGGUGCCGGCCCCAGGUCUCCCUGUCACAGGACUAGCGGCAGUGGACAAUAUAGAGGUUAUGUGCCCUAUUGUUAAAGCAAAUGUACUCCAACACCUUUGCACGUUCAAAUAUUAAUUGCGAACUUAGCAAAUGCAGAACGUAGCGCAAUGUGCCCUAUUGGUGAGGGUGCACUCAACUUUUGCUCCAGAAGUCGCUGAGGGCAUGGCUUUCAAACCCUCGGUGACAGAAAAGGUCCAUGGCGCAGCCCUGCUAUCUGGGUAUGCCAAGGUGUACAUUGAUUCAGUAAAAGAUAACUGGUCAGCCUAUCCACUGUCUGUGCCCCCCAAUAAUGAAAUCAUAACUUUGGGCGAUACGUGCAAGACAUUCAUAUAGUGGCCUAAAGAAGACAUAGUUAUCAAGAUGACUCCUCGUCUAAGUCGACCGACGGAGCUCACACCACCCAAGUCUCCCAAGUCAAAGCUUUCUAUCGAGGCUCCGCGUGGACCGGCAAUUUCAUUACCGCAUUCACCGGAUGCACCUGAUAUGGAUUUGGGAGAUAUUACUAAAAACAUGGCUUCGAUCAAGGCCAUAAGAAAGGGCGAUAGCUUCCCAACAGUUGUCAAGGCCCCACAAAAACAUAACCGUGGGCGCGAUAAAGGCAAGGGGAAGGUUAGGGAGUCGGCGCCGGCACCAAAAAGGGGCAAGGCUGCAACUUCAGCGCCGGUCAGUAAAUCACGGAAAGUCCAGAAGGUGCCGGCCAAAUUUGUACUAGGCAUACCAUUGGUGGACUACAAUAUGUUAGUCCUAAUGGGCCUUGCUUGCAGAGAGCUACAUAGACAAUACAUGGGCCUGAGCAAUGCCAAGCGGAAAGUGAGGGAGUCAUCCAUAGUUGGACAUCAUGACCACCAGCCGUUCCUGCCAUCGCCUGCAUAUGUAACUAUAGGCUUUGAUGACCUCUUCGACCUGUUCAGGAUCCGAAAGUUGGACACCGGACUUCUAAAACGCUACUCCUUGCAAGUGCAAUCCUUACUCCUUGCCUAAUGAACUGUCUUCUACAUAGAUUAGUGCUAAUACAUACAUGAUUUAAGGUUGUGUUGGAUCGA